GAACGCGAAGAACCUUACCAGGUCUUGACAUCCCUCUGACCGCUCUAGAGAUAGAGUUUUCCUUCGGGACAGAGGUGACAGGUGGUGCAUGGUUGUCGUCAGCUCGUGUCGUGAGAUGUUGGGUUAAGUCCCGCAACGAGCGCAACCCCUAUUGUUAGUUGCCAUCAUUGAGUUGGGCACUCUAGCGAGACUGCCGGUAAUAAACCGGAGGAAGGUGGGGAUGACGUCAAAUCAUCAUGCCCCUUAUGACCUGGGCUACACACGUGCUACAAUGGCUGGUACAACGAGUCGCGAGUCGGUGACGGCAAGCUAAUCUCUUAAAGCCAGUCUCAGUUCGGAUUGUAGGCUGCAACUCGCCUACAUGAAGUCGGAAUCGCUAGUAAUCGCGGAUCAGCACGCCGCGGUGAAUACGUUCCCGGGUCUUGUACACACC
rnacentral:rRNA from 1 species